UAAUUAAUUCAUUGUAUAAUUUAAAUAUAAAUAAUUAUUUAAAAAUAAAAAAAAAUUUUAAAUAAAUUUUUUUAUUUUGUUAUUAAUAUUUAAAAUAAUUAUUGUAAAUGAAAAUUUAAUAUAGAAAAUUAUAAAAUUAUUAAUAAAAUAAGUGCCAGCAAUUGCGGUUAGACUUUAAAUAAAAAUGAAUUUUAAUUUAAUUAAAUAAAAAAUUUUUAUUUUAUAAGAUUUAAUUUUUAAAUUAAUAAGGAAAUUUUUUUAUGGUGAAAUAUAUAUAAUUAGAUAUUUUGAUUUAAAUUUAAAUUAUUUAAAAUUAUUUUAUAGAAUUUUUUUAAUAAAUUAGGAUUAGAUACCCUAUUAUUAAUUUUAAUGUAUUUUUUAAUUACAUAUUAAAUGUUUUUUAUCAUUAAAAAUAAAAAAUUUGGCGGUAUUUUAUUUUUUUAGAGGAAUUUGCUAAUUAAUUUGAUAUUCCACGAAUGGAAAGACUUAAUUUUUUAUUUUAUAUAUAGUUGUUGUAAAAUUAUAUUAUUAGAUUUUUAAUUUAAAUAUUUUUUUAUAAUAGAAAAGAAAUAAUAAUUCAAAUCAAUAUGUAAAAAUGAUUAAGAUAUAUGUGAGUUACAAUUAAGUUUUUAAUGGAUAAUUAAAUUUUAAAUAUUAAUAAGAAAUUGGAUUUAAUUGUAAAUUUAUAAAAAUUUAUAAAUUGAAUUUUAUUUAAAAUAUGUACAAAUUGCCCGUCAUUUUCAUUUAAAUUAUGGAGAAAGUCGUAACAAAGUAAAUGUACUGGAAGGUGUAUUUAGAAUUUU
rnacentral:ncRNA from 1 species